AUAUUUUGUUUAUGGUUGAAAAAUUGACAUUAGACAAAGGCAAGUAGGCAAGAUACAGAGUGAUUGAGACGAUUUCCAUAUCCCGUUGAUAUUUCUUUAUUCUUCUUAUUCCCAUCAUGCGCUCAGCACACCAGAUGAUCCACAAGAAUGGUGCAAGGAUUCGACCUAUAACCGUACCGUCCAUCCUACCCUGUUGGUGGCCGGGUUAGCACCUCUCCUCGCCUCUUUUUUCCAACCCUCCACCAGGAUUAGCAUUUCCCAAC
rnacentral:lncRNA from 1 species